AGAGUUUGAUCCUGGCUCAGAACGAACGCUGGCGGCAGGCCUAACACAUGCAAGUCGAGCGAUCGCAGCAAUGCGGGAGCGGCAGACGGGUGAGUAACGCGUGGGAACAUGCCCUUUGGUUCGGAAUAGCUCAGGGAAACUUGAAUUAAUACCGGAUACGCCCUUUUUGGGGAAAGAUUCAUCGCCGAAGGAUUGGCCCG
rnacentral:rRNA from 1 species